GCCACAUGAUGUUCACAAUUGCAAGUGAGCGCUCCGCGCAGUGCUGACCUUUAUCUAUCACCCUUGACUGAUGGCU
rnacentral:snoRNA from 1 species